rnacentral:rRNA from 1 species
UACGGAGGGGGCGAGCGUUAUCCGGAUUUACUGGGUUUAAAGGGUCCGUAGGCGGUCUAGUAAGUCAGUGGUGAAAGCCCAUCGCUCAACGGUGGAACGGCCAUUGAUACUGCUGGACUUGAAUUAUUGGGAAGCAACUAGAAUAUGUAGUGUAGCGGUGAAAUGCUUAGAGAUUACAUGGAAUACCAAUUGCGAAGGCAGGUUGCUACCAAUUGAUUGACGCUGAUGGACGAAAGCGUGGGUAGCGAACAGG